ACAGCAGUCGCCGCGGUAAUACGUAGGUGGCGAGCGUUGUCCGGAAUCAUUGGGCGUAAAGGGAGCGCAGGCGGGCGUGUAAGUCUUUCUUAAAAGUGCGGGGCUCAACCCCGUGAUGGGAAAGAAACUACAUGUCUUGAGUACAGGAGAGGAAAGCGGAAUUCCCAGUGUAGCGGUGAAAUGCGUAGAUAUUGGGAGGAACGCCAGUGGCGAAGGCGGCUUUCUGGACUGCAACUGACGCUGAGGCUCGAAAGCCAGGGGAGCGAACGAGAUUAGAUACCCCUGUAGUCCCUGUCUCUUAUACA
rnacentral:rRNA from 1 species